UCGGAAAUCGGAUUGGCAAUCGGACGCGCGGGUACAGUUUUCGAGGAAUAGAUGUCGAAAUACAUCGUAUCCAUAAUCUGGUUGAUCAUCGAAUCUAAUAAGGGACACACGGUAUAAUACACGUAAUGCAACUGUAAGAAAGUAAGUAUGCGUAGUCACUUGUGUGGUGUUCGUGUAUACCGCGGUAUUGUAUAUCAAAGGAUGUGUCG